rnacentral:rRNA from 1 species
UAUAAACGUAAUUUAAAAUACUAAUUGAUUAAUAGUUAUGAUCUUUAAAGUUAAAUAAUAUGGCGGUAUUUUAGUCUAUUCAGAGGAACCUGUUUUAUAAAUGAUAGUCCACGAUUUUAUUAUCUUAAAUUAGAAAUUUGUAUAUCAUCGUUAUUAAAUAUUUUUUUAGAAUUUAAUAUUUUUAAAAUAUAAUUAUAUUUUAAUUCAGAUCAUGGUAUAGUUUAUAUUUAAGUAUUAAUGGGUUACAAUAUUUAUAAAUUUGGAUUUUAAGUUUUAAAUUUAAAUGAAAUUGGAUUUGAAAGUAAUUAUUAUAUUUUACAAUAAUGAUUUAGCUCUAAAAUAUGU